rnacentral:lncRNA from 1 species
GUCAGUUGAGUCUGCUUUGCAGAGUACUCACCUUUAGCUGUUGCUGUGGAAUGUAACAACAUGGCGUGUAUGUGUUUAGAAUGGGUCCCAGGGCAUCUGUGUGAAAAGAUCCUGGACCUUCACUAUAGAGUAGACCUUGGGUCAGACGCUGCACAUCCUUCUCGUACAUGCUACCUCAGUGCCGCUCUGCUGAGGAACAAUAAGAAGAUAAUACAAUAUGGACAGGGGGCUGUUGCUAUGCGAAAUUCCAGACACCCACUAGGGUGGGCAAUGGAUGGGUUAAGGCAGAGUCAAUCUGCCUCUCUCAGGAUGACAGCUGUUGCUAGGGAAGCCAGCAAUUACCAAAGAAGGCCAUAGAGACAUUGCUUAUGAAUCCGUCAACAGGUUAUGGAAAAAUAUGCAUCUUGCUU